GUUUCGAAUCAUUCACAAUGGGCGAAAGCCUGAUGGUGCGACGCCGCGUGAGGGAUGAAGGUCUUCGGAUUGUAAACCUCUGUCACUGGGGAAGAAACGCUAAGCGUGAAUAUCGCUUAGCCUGACUUAACCCGGAGAGGAAGCAGUGGCUAACUCUGUGCCAGCAGCCGCGGUAAUACAGAGACUGCAAGCGUUAUUCGGAUUCACUGGGCGUAAAGGGUGCGCAGGCGGCCGUGUGUGUGAGGUGUGAAAUCCCGGAGCUUAACUCCGGAACUGCGCCUCAAACUACACGGCUAGAGCAUUGGAGAGGGAAGUGGAAUUCACGGUGUAGCAGUGAAAUGCGUAGAUAUCGUGAGGAACACCAGAGGCGAAGGCGACUUCCUGGACAAUUGCUGACGCUCAGGCACGAAAGCGUGGGGAGCAAAAGGGAUUAGAAACCCGGGUAGUCC
rnacentral:rRNA from 1 species